CGGAUAUAAAUAUUAGUUUGAAGUUAAUUAUAGUUUCAUAUACUUCAAAAAAAUAUAUAACAAAGGUAUAUAUAUACUUUUGAUUUAUCACAAAAAUUUUUGAGAACACCUAUUAUGUGUAAACUAUAGGAAAUAAAAAAUUAAUUGUAUCUUUAUGGAAUUUAACUUUAUGUUAUUAAAGAAAACUAUACAAAUCAUGUUUAAUUAAUGUUUUUGAGCCAAGAAUGUUUCAUAGGCCGGGUCGGGUCAGAUUGAAACCAUAUACUAUUGGACAUUUCAUGCAUCUUUCUUUUGCAACUCUGUUCAUCUAGGCUCCAAAAGUUGAUCCGCAAGUGGCUCCACAACCUCAGCAGUCUCAUCAAUCUAUCCCGCCAAAGCCAGCCAUUUAAUCUCAUAUGUCAUCUGGUUUCGGAUUACAAGAGCCAGUAGCUACAAGACGCAACCUCCUCAGCAUCAUUCUCAACACAUUUUUUUUAUUGGUAUUCUUUGGUUUCCAUCAUUGUGAUUUAUGUUUUUGACUAGCUACAGCUCGUUAAUUGAACCAAUCUAUAGUCAGGUUCCCGCAGGGACAGCUACAUCUGCCUAGUCAACUACCAUAUCUUACAUUUUAGGCGAUAUGUUCUGUGGUUUUUGCUGAUUGGCUAUGCAAUUAUGUUGAUUUGUCUCUUGUGCUUUCUCCUAUAUGGAAAUUCCAGCAAUAAUCUUCUCAUUGUGUUCAUUGUCAUCUAAUUUACGUUGAAAUCAGUUUUUUUGCUUAAAACAAUAGGCAACCUAAAUGGAAAUUGUGCAGGUUUUAGUAAUGCUUUUUUGAAUCUCACUGCUUAUGAUCUGGUCUUCUGUUUCAGGUUGGAAGUCAGUUUCGUGGAGAAUACAAUAAUAACCCAUUAGGAGGUCCGAUGGCUACAGAGGUCCUUCUUGGAUGGCUGGCCAAUCAGAGAGCUCAAACAUUACUCAUCUCCCAAGCUUAGGACCUGUCCCUUCACCAAGCCAGGUUGGACCUGGAAGUGGCCUUCCACCUCGCCCUCAACCGAUAUCUGCAGAGAUGGAGAAGGCACUGAUUGCUUCAACAUGUGAUAAGUCUGACCCCAGAGCAGAUCUGCCACCAGAACAGAGAAAUCAAGUCCUUCAGCUCAUCUUACCAAAAAAAGUCCUUCAGCUCCAAGAGAUUCUCCGACAGUGAAGCUCGUUGAUACAAUCGCUGGUCUCCAACUCUCCAUGUUAUAACUUAGAAGGUUUUGGGUUUGAAUGUAUGGUAUGUGUCAAGUUUGACAUAAUUUGUACAAAAAGAAGUAAUUAUAUAUAUUUUUAAGUUCAGCGAAUCACUGACACAUGAUACUUUGGUCAUAUUCCCUGGAGAAAAAGUGUUUUCUUUCACUUGAUU